AUCCAGGGGUUACGCGUUGUCGCUGCUGGUAUGGCGAACUCUGCUUGCCUCAGGCUUGUCCGGUACUGGCGGGACAAUAACCCUUGCUCUUCAGAUGGUUACUUCUUGCCUUACUGGCUGCUCUGCGUAUGGCUUCCCAUGCUCGUGUCUGCCUCAGAUUAUUGUACUGUUUUCUUUUUCUUCCACUGAACGGUAAUAGCUCGCUUGUUUCUCAGAACAAAUCUAAGGUAAAGCUUCUACAUCGCUCUUUCCCCACUACCACAUUCGAGAAAAGUCUUUGCAACCAAAUCAUUGAAAACUUCUGUUUUCCUCUUCUGGAGAAAGAACUUGGUUAAGGAUGGCCAUCGGGAGGAUUUUCCAACCUUAAUGAUUGCAUGACUCCACGCUCAGAAAUCUGCUUGGAUUUACUUCAUGUCAGGAAGUGCAGGGGUAGUCUGUCUAUUAGAAUCAUUUGAGUUGGAAGGCACCUUUGAAGGUCGGCUGUUCCAAGUCUCCUAUUCCCAGAACUUUGCAAAAGGGAUCCUACCUCCCACAGACCUCACUCUUUUGGAGGGUGCUUCUGGCACCGGCAUGGGCAGCAGCCAGGAGACAGAAGGGCCACUCCAAGUGCGGAGAAAUCCUUAUGUUACCUUGAAAUAACGUGGCAAAGGAGAGCAGCUUGUGUGUGGAAAAAGCCCUGGGGCGAAGGGACGGAGCUUUUCCUCUGGUCUCAUUUGUUAUAUCUGUGCAAAUUUCUGUAGCAAAUAAGCUAACAGUUAUACAGGCAAUAAUCUUAUUUACCUCGCGGUCAUGAUCCGUUCAUUUUCCCAUGCUAAAUGAGACAGUGGUCUGCUGGAAAAAGUAAUGUAACGUCUUUGAUAUUAUGACCAUAAGCAGUCCAAUUUAGAAUUGCACAAGUAAUUUUUGUUCCAGUCUCUGGAUGCUUGAUCUUUUUCCAACCCCACACAUCCUUUAACGUAAACAAAAGUACUCAUUAAAUGAUUACCUGCACCCACCAGAACAGCCCUUCACCUUGCUGGGUGCAAACACAAAGACAGCCCGUGUGGCACAGAGUUCAGGGCUCGGCACUGACAGAACCCCCACCCCAAUGCAGCAGAGUCUCCUUGCCACACUGUGUGAAAGAAGGGAUCUAACUGCACACAUAUGUUCAAGUCCUCUGAAAUUUGUUCCAAGCUGCUAGUUCAUCAGCAAAUACAUGUUAUCAUCAAAGGCCAAUAAAGCCUGGUUGGAAGUAUCGUUGUGUACAAAGGCCAGGAAUUAUGUUAUUCCCGACUGCUACUCUUUAAAGCAAAAACAUCAUCUUCCAGAGGAAAGCGGACCUGCUGAACACACUUCAGUGCUGGAAUUUGUUCAAGGUUCCAGCUCUUCUCUGAGCCUCCUCUAAUGUUUUGCCACCAGUGCUGCAUUAAGCUGAGUAGAUACGGGUUUUGCAUCUCAAUAGAGUCUCCUCCAGUUCUAACCAAGAGCAGCAUAUACUUUCUGCCAUCUUCUAAUGUCCGUCCUUGUCCAUCUUCAAGGCCAGGUUGGAUGGGGCUCUGAUCUCGUGCCUGACCUAGUGGGUGGCAACUCUGCCUGCAGCAGGGGUUUCGAACUGGAUGGCCCUUGAUGUCCCUUCCAACCUAAGUCAUCCUAUGAUUCUACUACUCUGCAAUCCUCCUCCCAUUUAUACUUGUACCCUCGCUAUUUUAUAACCCUACUUUGUUCACUGCAUCGCCUUAUGCAUUCGCUUGAUUAUUCGCUGUGAUCUGCAAACCUUUCCUGGUGUGAAAUUUAACACAGAGAAGCUUUUAAUUGCCCAGAAUUUUCAGUGAAGCUUGGUUAAAUUUCUUCAUCAUAACUUUUUUUCCCCCUCAGUCAGCACCAUGAAAAGGGGAAUCUGAAUGUAACAGUGUUUCCUUGAUCAGUUUAACCAUAUAUUUUCAAUGAGCCUUGUUCUUUAAAAUCAUUUAUCUUGUCUACAUGAUGUAUUUCUAUAAAAUUUGGCACACGGGGUACUGUGAAUAGACCUAACAUACAUAGCAGUGUUCUUGCCUGAUUUUCAAAUAAGUCCUAAAGUUGCUCUUCCGUAAGUUGAAAAGUAAUGAAUAAUUUGUUUAAUGUUCCUGAACUUGGUAUUCCCCUUAGGUAUGGCUGCUGUCUCACGAAGCUUCAUCUGCAGCUUUAGCGUGUAACAAAAAAAAGUUUAUGUGCACCUGCUGACACCUGGCCUACAUGUAAAACAGAUGUUGGUGAACGAAGUCUUUUUCGUGAGCAGCUGCAUUUACCCUGCAGAUUCACUCUGCCUGCUUUUAUGGAGAAUCACGUCCCUACUUGCUCAUUAACAUCCCCAAUUUGAUUUAAAUAUGGCCUCUAUGAAAUCGGUUGAAUUUUUGUUGAUCCAGAAUAUACCUAACUUAAAUCCACAAAGGAAACAAAAUGAAUUUUUAAAUCAAGUAAAUCUACAGUAUGAUCUUCACUAUCUCUAGGACGAGGAGACGUGACAAAGCCUUCUGAUUGAACCCCCAGCUCCAAGUAGGGCCAAUUGUGAAGUUACCCACAGGCUUGCUGAGGGUGCCCUUCAACUCAUCACCGAGGUCACUGACAGAGGUGUUACACAAUACCAUCAAGGGAAUCCUGGCCGCCAGCUGGGUCAGCUCAUUCUGAUCACAACCUUUGAGCCCAUUGGUCCAGCUGAUUCUCCCCAGCUUACCUUCUGCUUACCUAGUUCAUACCCCUGUGAUGUGCUUAAGAGAAGUCUACAGGUGAUUGUCUCAAAAGCAUUGGAAAAGUCAAGGUAAUUUAUAUGCACUGCUCUCCCCUUCACUCUACACACUGCAGAAGGUAGUUGGGUUGGCCAGGCAGAAUUUACAUUGUGUAAGCUGUUACUGCCUGUCCACUGUCACCUUCUUAAUCCUCCCACAGACUAAGGUCAGACUGGCUGGCCCCUUCUUUUGCAAAUCUAGCCCUUUGAAAACAGAGGCAACUUUUACCUUCUUCCAGUCCCCACGUGCCUCUCCCAGUCACCAUGACCUUGCUGCGCUCCCCUGUUCUGCUAUGCAUGCCUUGUGGUUCCUACAACUCCUGAACCCCUUCGGCCUCAUAUCCCAUCUCCAAACACUCUGAGUAUCCUCCUUCCAUUAUCCCUUCACCAACAUCUCCCCUCUCCAAGUAACACUAACUUAAGUGGCACUAAAUUCUUUUAAAGAAUCUAGGAUCCAGCUCAACUUCUCCAAUGGGACUUCGGCUUCAUUUGCAUUUCAUGCAUUGAUAGAUUGGUGAAUCAAACAUUUGGUUGCAUUUUGAUGUGUUAUUAACAUAAUCAUUUUCUUCAUGUUCUUUCUUUUUUUUUUUUCUAAUCAGACAACCUUGAAAAAUUCCCAACUUUUUUAAGACAAGAAAUCAGUCGAGAACAAUUCCAUGUCAUAAAAUGCUUUGAAUUUGCCAAACCAACACCCUUUACAGGAAGGCUUUUAUUACCAGUCUCUUCUAUAUUCUCAGCCUGCAGCAUGUGCUCAGCAAUACUUAUGCCCUGACAUAUUCUGCAUAUUCCUGUAGCCUGUUCAAAAAGACAUUGCCUUUCUUUCUACGAAGUAUGAAAGGCUCAGCUCAUCCCUAUAGUGAGACUUUAAUCUAGAAAGUCAAAGUCAUCAAGCAUCCACACUAAGGAGCAUAACUGAGCUACACAUAAGAAAUAGAGCUACGAGUGUUGCUUCGUGUUUUGCUGCUUAAAGAGAAAAAUUCUCUUCCCCUUGUAAUUAGACUGCUGAAUGUUAACUUACCUUCUGUUUGGAACUGUGCAUCACUGUCUUCCUCCCUUGGUUUCCUGUGCUCGAAUAUAUAACAUUUCCAACCUUCCCUAUAACUUGACAAUAAAAUGUUUUGCUGAGCAAAGGAAGAACUGACACUUCUUAAAAGACACCCAAUCAUUAGCAAGUUGACAUGUACACUUUAACAACCCCUGUAGACACACCCUUUUUUUGCUCCCUUGGAUGUCCUCAGAAAAAAUUACUCUAAUAUUUAACAAUUACUUCUCAUCACUGACCAAACACAUCAGAAUGUUUUCCUCCGAAACCAUAAUAUAAUGAUUGUGCAACUUUCAGUCUAAGGGGCCCUUCAUCUUUACUGUUGAAU
ensembl:lncRNA